GGUUUUGAAACAAAAAGGGUGUGAAUGGAGUGUAAAACUUCCUAGCAGUUCACCUCUUGAAAUCAUAUAGAAGAUGAUUCAAGUGUGUCCUUAGGAAUAAGGCAACAAACAAGCAAGCAAAUAAAAGCAAGGUGAUACCGGAUGCCAUCAAUGGACUUAUACCAAUCUCACAAACAAAAGCGGAUACCGGAUACCAAUAAAUGGGUUUACACCAAUCUCCUAAGGCAA
rnacentral:lncRNA from 1 species